AUUGAACGCUGGCGGCAUGCUUUACACAUGCAAGUCGAACGGUAACAGGCCGCAAGGUGCUGACGAGUGGCGAACGGGUGAGUAAUGCAUCGGAACGUGCCCAGUCGUGGGGGAUAACUACUCGAAAGAGUGGCUAAUACCGCAUACGAUCUAUGGAUGAAAGCGGGGGACCGUAAGGCCUCGCGCGAUUGGAGCGGCCGAUGUCAGAUUAGGUAGUUGGUGGGGUAAAGGCUCACCAAGCCAACGAUCUGUAGCUGGUCUGAGAGGACGACCAGCCACACUGGGACUGAGACACGGCCCAGACUCCUACGGGAGGCAGCAGUGGGGAAUUUUGGACAAUGGGCGCAAGCCUGAUCCAGCAAUGCCGCGUGCAGGAAGAAGGCCUUCGGGUUGUAAACUGCUUUUGUACGGAACGAAACGGCUCUGGUUAAUACCCGGGGCUAAUGACGGUACCGUAAGAAUAAGCACCGGCUAACUACGUG
rnacentral:rRNA from 1 species